CUGAAACCUUUCUAUGGUUCUCUGAGUUUGCUGCAUGAGAAACAUCACUUAAGGGCUCUAAGGGUUUUAGACAGUGUCUGAACGCGGUGCUUCUUGGCCCAUGGCACAAACUGUUUGACUUCAAGGAGUUCAUAUAAUGGCUAUGUUUUUGAUUAACAUCUAACACAUCUAAAAUAAUCUAACCAUUUAAUCUAGUUUAACCUAAUGUAACCUUAAUGCCUGAGUUGUGGCAAGCCCAGGGGAUCAUUCCCCCCAGUUACCCAAAUGCAGUAGGAGAGCUCUAGCAGAUUUGGCAGCUAAACCAGAGAAACUCUGCAGGAAAGCUGUAAAGUGGGUCAUUAAUGCUGAGAUUACUUACCUCGGCACAUUCACCAUGCAUUUUCCUAACUAAGCUUUUUAUUGAAAUCCUGUCCUGCUGCAUUCAGAUGGAGGAAUGAUAUGCUGCUCUGGGUUACGGAGGUUCCAUCCUUUAGUGCUGCCCUUCUGCGUGUAACUUAAUCACUUUUCCAAGCAGCAGUUCUAGAGAGCAGGAGCAUAUCAAGCAAUAAAGCACAGGCUAAGACAAAGGCCUGACCUUGCCUUUUGCUAACGAAAACAAAGAAAUGAACUCCCCAGUGUUAAAAAUGCACAGCAGUUCUAACCUGAUGUAGGAGGCAAUUUCACCAUGGGAGAAAAUUCAGGAAAGAAAUGUCGACACGGAUUGGAUGACAUUGCAUCUGCAGGGUCAGAGGGUCGGCUCCGUGUUUCUCUGAGAUGCUUUUGGUAGAUGCAGUAGCACGAGGAGGUCCGAUCCAGCAACAGAACCGUGUGCCAGAGAAGCCAGGGAAAGAGGCAGCAUCCUGCUGCUCCAUACUCCAUAUGCUGUCAGUGGUCCAGGCUUGCCUUAUUCCAUCCUUUUGGAAGUGGGAAUGACAUUCAUUGAGAGGAUGAUGUGUGGCACAAAAAGCCCUUCUCUCACCCCGGAUGAAUCAAUAGCUGUAAUAGGAGAGGCUCAGGGCAGUGCUGGUCUGUCAGCAUUCCUCUGCUUUUUGAGCUAUCUGAGCUGAGCCUCUCUGUGGUUUGAGGUCUGUGGAUUUGGGAAGAAAAUAGAGGAAAAAAAGAAGCAAAGUGAAUUUCACCCUUGAAGGACAUAGAAAUGAAUAUGUGAGGAAGCACAGAUGCUUUCCCGUUUGGAAAUGACAUUUAUCAAAUCAGGAGUACGCAAAGUACACCUGCAAGUAGGGAUGUCCGGGUGACUGCAGUGCCACUGAGUACCCUUGUGGUCUUCCUUCCCUCUUCUUGGUCCUACUCAUCAUGCACAGUGCACACACCUGCAGAUGAUAUCUAAGACACUGGGACAAAAACCAUCAACGUGAGAUGCGAGUUGUACCCUACAAACCAUGCCAGGAGAAACAGCUUCGCCCCAAGAAGCAGCCACUGAACCAGCCAAGGCAGGUGUGAAGACCAUGAAAACAUACCCAAACCCUGCUAAAUUAGAAGAGAUUCUUGCUUGUAUUGAGGAGCUGGCACUGCUCCCCUCCUGCUUUUAGCCCCCAGCACAGACCACACACGGGCUCUGCAGUUCCAGUUGCCCGGAGGACAUCAGGAAACAUGGAGAUGUGACACUGAGGAACAGUGGGCAUUGUGGGGAUGGGUCGACGGUUUGACUUGAUGAUCUUACAGGUCUUUUCUAACUUCAAGAUUUUAUAACUCUAUGAUCUGCCAUCAGGAUGCUCCCAGAGGCUGAAGGAAGGCAACAGCUGCAUCUCUGCAUCACUUUUACCAAAGCUGCUGGGGUGGGAUACCCACUGAUGUGGUCGGUGGGCAUCUGGUGGCACAGGCACACCAUCUCACCCAGAGAGAUAUAUAUGUUCCAUUUGGAGGCUUGCUUCUCAGAUUUUCUAGCCCAGCUCUAUAAAUCAAAGCAGCAUAAGGAACCCCAGGCAUCAUCAAGAUUAGUAGUUGGUGUAUCUGUCAGAAUCUUGUUUUGAUUCAUCUAAAGCUGUGC
ensembl:lncRNA